UCCGUACCCGCUUCCGCUUCCGCCGCCGCACAGCCGCACGGGACGCGUAGUUCGUGGGAUGCACAACGGGAGCGCGGCCGCAGCGUGACCGGGAAGUGAUUGCGCUGCUCGGCGAGCCGACCAAUGGGAGGCGGCCGGAGGAAGGCGGCCGGCCAGGCAGGCAGGCGGCACCCCGCCCCUCUGCGUGCGAGCUAGGAAGCCGGCGGCGCCGGGGUGUGAGCCCCGAGUGUGAGCGACGCCUGAGUGUGAGCCUGGAGUGUGAGCGGCGCCUGAGUGUGAGCCCCGAGUGUGAGCCCUGAGUGUGAGCCGCCCGGAGUGUGAGCUCGGAGUGCGAGCCCCGAGUGUGAGCCCCGGCAGCCCGCUCACUUGGGACCGACUGGCAGGAAGGCACCUACAGCUCCCCAAGGGCUCCCCCGCGGGCCCGGCGGGGUCAAGGAGACAGCUCCUGAAAGGUCGGAACUAACCCACUCUACUGUGCCGGAGAGCCGGCUCUGGGCAAAGCCUGGUGACCGGGUCACUCCUCAGAACUCCCACGGUGGAAGGAGAAAGCCAGCCUUCAAGUUGUCCGCUAACCUCUAAGCAGACGCUCGCACUCAGGCACACACAUGUACACACCACAAAAUUAGUAAACACAUGCUUCCCUUUUAAAUCUUAAAAUGUAUUCUUCUGAAUGUAAAAUCAAGAAAAGGUAAGGGUUAAAGGUGCGAGCAAUGCCCUCAAAGGCGGCUUAGAGUGCAGGGAGUCUGGGGAGGGCAUUCAAGUACAAGAGGAGGGGUCAGGAGACCCAGAAGGUGAAUUAGACACUUGCUGGCAAGCCUCGUCACCUGAUACUGUUCUCACCAUCAAUACCACCCCAGGCCUUACAUGACAGAAAUAGAGAACUGACUCGUGCAUGUUAUAGAUCCUCUGACCCCAACACACACACACACACACACACACACACACACUACAGUAAAAACUUUCAGGGAGAGCUGGAAGCAGGACGGCCCCAAACAGGCCCUCACUGCAACUUCAGUACCCGCCUGCCUCACAAGCCCUUACCUCACUGUCGUCCUCUUCCUCCUCCGCCUCAUCUGAUUCAUCCUCACUGUCCUCAAAGAACUUGGACUUAGCAACUCGAGGCAGCUUGUCAGAGGCUGAAGAGCAGGAAGGUCCAGCCUCACCAGUAGCAGUACCAGGCUCCCCAGUUUGGCCUGCCUCAGUCCCAUGUUCCGAGUUGGAGGAAAGGCCUGUGUGGCCUUUGGCUGUGGGGCCAUUUUCCUGGGAAGGAGUUUCCCUAGCUGGGUCCUCGGGUCCAGCCUCCCCAUUGAGGCCCUGAGGCCCUGGUUCAUCACCUGUCCCAGUUCCAGAUCUGGUGUGGGGAGGGCCCUUCUGACAGUUCUGCCCGUAUCGUGUCAGCAGCUCCUCAAUAGUCAUGGUGGCCUCCUCAUGCAGCAGUGCGGCCUCCUCAUUGUCCACUGCGGGAGGAGACCCGAUCAGAGCCCCACCCACUCCUCACAGGACAGUCCCUUCACUAGUCAGCACUUCCCGCUUACCUCCCGAGUCUAAGGCUCCACUCCCUCAUCAACUCUCAGAAAAACAGUCCCCCGAGCUCUCCUCAGUAGCGGGCUGGUCUUUCUUGGUCCGAGGAACUCCAGUUAUACCCCACCACCACCACUGUACCUCUUGUGUAUUGAGUUGAAACCUUAACUCUGACCGAGGACCCAGAAACCCCCAACACUAGCUUAGAGGAAGGGCUAAGUUGUAAUAACCAACUACCAAGGCUAAUAAUUGCCCCAGGCUUGAAAAAAAAAAAAAGUCGCCACAUAUA